UUCUGUGUGUCCUCUCUCAGCCUCUCUGGCUUUUCUCUCUGAGCUUCUUUUAUAAAGGUUUCCAGUAAGAGAAUUAAGUAAGAGAAUUAAGACCCACCCUGAGUGAGGUGGAUCACAUCUUAAGAUUCUAUUCACCAAAAGAUCCUGUUUGCAAUGGGUCCAUAUCCACAGGACUGGAUUAAAUUUGUGAACAUGAUCUUUCCUGGGUACAUAACAGCUUCAAACCAUCACAGGUUGUAAAAGCAAUUUUGAGGGUGUAACUGGAAGUUUUUAAUGAAGGAAAGAUGAGAAUGAAUCAUAUAUCAUAAAACAAUUUACACACCGACCAGUAGGAGAGCAUGGCCAGGUCCUAUGACAACAACUUCCUGUGAAAGGAGAGAUUGCUGUCUUCAGACAACCAACAUCCAGCUGCAUCUUCUCUUUGAUAAUCAGAGAAACUGAAAUUGCUUUGAAAAAAAUAAGGACUCUGUAUAGAAAGUACUUAACUCUCUUGGCAUUUUUGUGUGUGUGUGGCUAAAUGCUAACAUUAUUCAUCUAGUCUAGCAACCUCUGGAUUUCCACUUCCUAGGGAGGACAAACAUUACCCAUGACAAUUUUUUAACCUUAUUUCUCAGGCCUCCUAAAGUCUCAGCAAAAGUGAUUGCUCAGCACUCUGCCUACAGUGGGCCUCAAUGUGUUAUUUAUAAUUUGGGGUAAUAUGUAAAGAGAGACAAACAAAAUAAAAAUUGAAAUAAGUUUAGCUUCAAAAGCCUAGGUGAACACUGAACCUAUGAUUUUUAAUCCAUAAGCAUUUUAAAAUUUUAAUAUGUAAUACUUGCAAUAUAGUUAUAAAUUAGCAAUAUGCUGGAUAGUGACUCAAUCAAUCAGUCAAUCAAGUAUCUGAGGAUUAGCCAAGCAAUCAAUGAAUUCAAGCCCUCCAUUAUCUGGAUAGAAACUUUCUGACUUGACUUACCACACUUCUUCCUUUGUUGACUUGGUGUCUCUUGAAAUGCCUUCCACACAGGGUUCUGUCAGUGGCAAAACUUUCCAUC